rnacentral:tRNA from 1 species
GCCUUUGUGGUGUAACGGUAGAACACUCGGCGCGUAUUCAAGAGAUCCAGGUUCGAAUCCCGGCGAGGUCA